GAGCCCAGGAGGCGGGGCGCCUGUGGGAGCCGUGGAGGGAACUUUCCCAGUCCCCGAGGCGGAUCCGGUGUUGCAUCCUUGGAGCGAGCUGAGAGCUCGAGUACAGAACCUGCUAAGGCCAUCAAACCUAUUGAUCGGAAGUCAGUCCAUCAGAUUUGCUCUGGGCCGGUGGUACCGAGUCUAAGCACUGCGGUGAAGGAGUUAGUAGAAAACAGUCUGGAUGCUGGUGCCACUAAUAUUGAUCUAAAGCUUAAGGACUAUGGAGUGGAUCUCAUUGAAGUUUCAGGCAAUGGAUGUGGGGUAGAAGAAGAAAACUUCGAAGGCUUAACUCUGAAACAUCACACAUCUAAGAUUCAAGAGUUUGCCGACCUACCUCAGGUUGAAACUUUUGGCUUUCGGGGGGAAGCUCUGAGCUCACUUUGUGCACUGAGUGAUGUCACCAUUUCUACCUGCCAUGUAUCGGCGAAGGUUGGGACUCGACUGGUGUUUGAUCACUAUGGGAAAAUCAUCCAGAAAACCCCCUACCCCCACCCCAGAGGGAUGACAGUCAGUGUGAAGCAGUUAUUUUCUACGCUACCUGUGCACCAUAAAGAAUUUCAAAGGAAUAUUAAGAAGAAACGUGCCUGCUUCCCCUUCGCCUUCUGCCGUGAUUGUCAGUUUCCUGAGGCCUCCCCAGCCAUGCUUCCUGUACAGCCUGCAGAACUGCUUUCAAAUAUUAGAACAUCCAUGUUCUGACCUCAUUAAAAUUGCUCUUUUGU
rnacentral:lncRNA from 1 species